AGAACUCGACUGCCAUUGAAAUGUGCAAAAGAAAAAUUUCCUGGCAUCUUAAAAAAAAUGUCGAAGUCAGUUACUCCACAAGCCCUGUUUGUAAGAGUCCUUGAAAAGAGAAGCAUCAGUUUUCCAAUAUGAAGUAAAUGGAGAAUACAGCUCAUGGAAGGUCAGAAUGUAUAAGAAUGUGUUUAUUGGAUACCUUCAAAGUCACUAAGCAUUAUGUCAUAAACAUUUUCUGAAGUCAACAUUCCGAAAACAUAGCAAAAUGAAGGCAAUUCCAAGAGUUCUUGACUGCACCUUUGAAGUUGUGGAGCACAGCUAAUGGAAAAGGCUGGAGGCAGGAGCAGGCUGGAGCAACCACAGAGGCAGAGCCAAGAGAUGGGGCAGUAGGAGAAUGUGGUUAAUGUGUCUGGAGUGGGGCGAGGUGAUUUGGAAGGUUUCUCUAGAGGCAAAUGGUAGACAGCCAUGUCAUCUUGUGUGAUCUCCCCAUGGUGGCAAGUCAAUUUUCCAGUUGUUCACGCCCCAAAUCUUGGAGUCACUCUUGACUCCAUAUCUCUUCUGUAGACUACAUCUAAUUUUGCUCCCAAUCACCUCUUUCGGGGUUGCUAUUGUAAUCCAAGUCUCCAUCAUUUCCAGUUCAAACUGAAAUUGUUGUAUGUUUGCCACUUCCUCCCCUGAUUAGUUUCAACAUAGCACUCAGAGUAGUUCUUGUAAUGUUUAACUUGAAUUAUAUCACAGCUCUGUUCAGAACUCUAUUUCCUGUGGCUUCAUGUCUUAAAGUAAAAGCAAAAGUCUUAAAAUUGGCAUAUAA
rnacentral:lncRNA from 1 species